CCCUAUGGUAAGUCGGCACUCUCGAUGUUGGCAGUGGGCUUGGAGUGGUGACAAGGAGGGAGGGUAGGUACGUCAUCAGGGUCAUCAGGUGGGCACCGUCCUUCUUUGACGUACUGUUGAUAAGCCCACAAUAUCUCCAGAAGGUUCAACGGUGCUACCUGGCGUCCCAGAUAUACCCCCCUCAGUUCCAUACCCUCCUGUCUUCAUCUUGCAGCCCAGUUGUUGUCUUUCCUUUUAAUCCAAAUCCAACUGCUGCUUUCUUCUGCUGCAUUUGACAAGGACUUGGUUGCUUGUUGGAGGGAGUGACCCCUCACCCCCAUCUUCUUCAAUAGACGGGUCGUAGAUGUAGCAACGAAUCCCCUGCAUCUCACUUCUACUGCUUGACGAGACUUGGACUCAGCUCAGCGCUUCACUGCCUUUUGAAUUCAGCCCUGCCUGAGAUAUUGGACUGUUGAGUCAUCUGACUCGCGAGACUAACGAUGACUUUUUCACAUACUGAACAACGG